CCUACGGGUGGCAGCAGUCGAGAAUCAUUCACAAUGGGGGAAACCCUGAUGGUGCGACGCCGCGUGGGGGAAUGAAGGUCUUCGGAUUGUAAACCCCUGUCAUGUGGGAGCAAAUUAAAAAGAUAGUACCCCAAGAGGAAGCGACGGCUAACUCUGUGCCAGCAGCCGCGGUAAUACAGAGGUCUCAAGCGUUGUUCGGAAUCACUGGGCGUAAAGCGUGCGUAGGCUGUUUCGUAAGUCGUGUGUGAAAGGCGCGGGCUCAACCCGCGGACGGAACAGGAUACUGGGAGACUAGAGUAAUGGAGGGGGAACCGGAAAUCUCGGUGUAGGAGUGAAAUGCGUA
rnacentral:rRNA from 1 species